CCAAUAGCGUAUAUUAAAGUUGUUGCAGUUAAAAAGCUCGUAGUUGAAUUUCGGGAUUAGUACGUUGGUCGUGCCUUGGUACGUACUGGUGUAACUGAUUCCUCCCUUCUGACGAACCGUUAUGCCAUUAAUUUGGUGUGGCGGGAAAUCAGGACUGUUACUUUGAAAAAAUUAGAGUGUUUAAAGCAGGCUCGCGCUUGAAUACAUUAGCAUGGAAUAAUGAAAUAGGACGUUAAUCCUAUUUUGUUGGUUUCUAGGAUCGACGUAAUGAUUAAUAGGGAUAGUGGGGGGCAUUAGUAUUCAAUUGUCAGAGGUGAAAUUCUUGGAUUUAUUGAAGACUAACUACUGCGAAAGCAUUUGCCAAGGAUGUUUUCAUUAAUCAAGAACGAAAGUUAGGGGAUCGAAGACGAUCAGAUACCGUCGUAGUCUUAACCAUAAACUAUGCCGACUAGGGAUCGGAUGAUGUUAAUUUUUUAAUGACUCAUUCGGCGCCUUACG
rnacentral:misc_RNA from 1 species